CCCCCCCCCCCCCCCCCCCCCCCCCCCCCCCCCCCCCCCCCCCCCCCCCCCCCCCCCCCCCCCCGCAGGAAGGUGACAGUGGCAGGUGACAGGAUGGGGUGUGUGGUCAGAGGCAGCGGUGACACAGGACGUCAGCGAGCCUGCAGUGUCCCCAUCCCCCACCCCACGGGUGUCCCGGGGGCCGCGGGGCUCGGGGGUGCCACCCCUCCGUGAUGUCCCCACAGCCGGAGCCCUGCGGGUGAUCCAGGAGCCGGACGAGCUGCAGGUGGCCGCGGGUGACACGGCCACCCUCGGGUGCCGGGUGGAGGUGGCCGAGAGCGGGGUCCAGCUGCGCAUGGAGUGGGUGAGGGACGGGGGGCUCGGGGUGCUCUGUGCCACCCGCCUGGCCUUUGUCACCCCCCCGGCACUGUCCCUGUGUCCCCCCCCCCCCCCCCCCCCCCCCCCCCCCCCCCCCCCCCCCCCCGUCACCCCCCCGGCCCUGUCCCCGUGUCCCCUCCGUGCCCCCGGGGUCCAGCUGGCCUGGCACCCCCCGCGGGCCACCCUCAGCGUCCCGCAGGUGCGGGAGAACGACACCGGCCGCUACAUCUGCCAAGUGAUCCUCGAGAUCCCCCGGCACGGCACCGCCACCGGCAACGGCACCGAGCUGCGCGUCAUCCCCGCAGCAGCUCUCGGAGGACGUCAGGCAGCGCUGCUCUGGGGGCUCGUGGGGACCCUGGGGGGCACCGCGCUUCUCCUGGGGAUGGCGCUGCUCGGCUACCGCUGCUGCCACCGGAGCCCAGAGGCGGCCAUUUACCUGAACGUGGUGUCCGGCUCGGCGCGGGACCCCAAAAAGCCCCCCCCCCCCCCCCCCCCCCCCCCCCCCCCCCCCCCCCCCCCCCCCCCCCCCAGCCGCCACCCCCCGAGCUGGAGCACAACCUGUACCUGCAGCGGGCGCGGGCACCCGCCGUGCCCCCCCGGCGCUGAGGGUGCCCCGCUGUGUCUCACACCCUCCCCCAGCUCUGCCUUCCUCAGGAAACCCCCCCAAAAAGGUGUUUGGCAGCAUCCUGUCACCCGGCUCUGCGUCCUCUGUGUCCCCCCGCCCGUGCCAUCCUG
rnacentral:lncRNA from 12 species